GACGAGGUUGGCCGAGUGGUUAAGGCGAUGGACUGCUAAUCCAUUGUUGCUUUACCGCGGGGGGUUCGAAUCCCAUCCCUCGUCC
rnacentral:tRNA from 1 species